rnacentral:rRNA from 1 species
UCUUUGCAGCUUGGGAAAAGGGCUUGGAGCUCUGAGGCUUCCGGCGCGAGGCUUUGAUUCCUACCAAGCGCGAGUCAUCGGCUCGUGCUGCCCUUUGUACACACUGCCCGUCG